CCACCCCCUCUUGGAAGAGCAGACCACAACUUGGAUGAAUUUGGAGGACCAGUUACAGGCCAGCAAUGUCACUGGUGUCUGGAGGGGCCUGAAAACCAUCUCAGGCCAUGACAGCCCAAAGACAUUGACUGAGAAGGACAACGACUGGGCAGAUGGACUGAACCGUUUUUUCAACCGUUUCGACCAGUCGUCUGUCCCUUCCCCCAACCACUCUCACUGAGGACCUAUUCUCCUCCCCCUCCUCUUUCGACCAGCUCUCAUCAACCCAGUCUGUCACCUGGUUCCUGCCUGUCCGUCACAACAGAGCAGGUGAGGAACCAACUGAGGAAGAUGAAUGUGAGGAAGG